UGUCUGUACUUUGGGAUGUCAAGCAGGACUGUGGGGAGAAUACUGUGACAACGAGUGUCCCGACCACUGUUCAGUGUGCAACAGAAGCACUGGGUCCUGCCCUGAAUUUUCAGGGUCCCUUCACAGACUUGUCGUCGUCUUGCCAGCAUGUCUCGGUGUUUUCAUCCUUGUCAUUGCCGUCAUGAUCGUCAGGAGGAGAGAGUGUACGUCUUGUCCGGGUUUCCACAGAAGUAUAUCACCAAUCAACCCUGACAGCAGACCAGAAGAAAUCUCACUGCAAGAGUUUAAUGUAUCACGCAACAGUGAAAAUUCUCAGUAUGACGUGAUCCCGGAUAUAAAUAACGACCUCGCUGUGGAAGAGAGAGACUACGAACAACUGCAAGCACCCCGACCAGACACUGGCUACAUGCCGUUAGUAUAUACUUGGCAGUGAGAUAAACUUGAGUGUCAGUAAAAGAUCCUCUAUUUAUUACCUGUGUCACUGCAAUUUGAUGAUGUCAUCAACAGUGUCUUAUUACCUGCAACAAUAUUUCUAUCAAUAUUGCGUGUAUGUAUAUAUUGUAUAUGAUCUUUGAAUGCUUUCCUGUAUGACUAUAGGGUUUUCAAAAUACGUACUUUUGUCCUCACAAGCACGGAAAUGAGACAUGAAAGGAUUAUUACGUGAUGUCUUAAAUGCAACUAUAUUCGUUGUGUGUCAUGUAGAGUAGUGUUUGACAGUUCCUAUGUAAAUGGGCGGUCGGGCAGCCUAGUGGUUAAAGCGUUCGCUCGUCACGCCGAAGACCCGGGUUCGAUUCCCCACAUGGGUACAAUGUGUGAAGCCCAUUUCUGGUGUCCCCCACUGUGAUAUUGCUGGAAUAUUGCUAAAAGCGGCGUAAAACUAAACUCACUCACUCACUCCUAUGUAAAUGUCAGGAACAGCAACAAAUAUAUCUCUAAUUUUGUACAGAGUUGCUCACAUAUUUUUGUAAAUAAAUCAUUAUAAAGUCGUUUA